UAGGGAAUCUUCCACAAUGGGCGAAAGCCUGAUGGAGCAACGCUGCGUGUGUGAUGAAGGGUUUCGGCUCGUAAAACACUGUUGUAAGAGAAGAAUGACAUUGAGAGUAACUGUUCAAUGUGUGACGGUAUCUUACCAGAAAGGAACGGCUAAAUACGUGCCGG
rnacentral:rRNA from 1 species